rnacentral:rRNA from 1 species
AGAGUUUGAUUAUGGCUCAGAACGAACGCUGGCGGCAUGGAUUAGGCAUGCAAGUCGAACGAAGCAGCAAUGCUUAGUGGCGCAAGGGUGAGGAACACGUGAGUGACCUACCCGCAAGUUUGGAACAGCUCCUGGAAACGGGAAUUAAUACCGGAUGUGAUCAUGAAGCUGCAUGGUUUCAUGAUUAAGCAGCAAUGCGCUUGCGGAUGGGCUCGCGUCCCAUUAGCUAGUUGGUGAGGUAACGGCCCACCAAGGCCAUGAUGGGUAGCUGGUCUGAGAGGACGACCAGCCACACUGGGACUGAGAACUGCCCAGACUCCUACGGGAGGCUGCAGUCGAGAAUUUUGGGCAAUGGACGAAAGUCUGACCCAGCAAUGCCGCGUGCGGGAUGAAGGUCUUCGGAUUGUAAACCGCUGUUUGGAGGGACGAAAAUUGACGGUACUUCCAGAGGAAGCCACGGCUAACUACGUGCCAGCCGCCGC